CCUACGGGCGGCAGCAGUGAGGAAUAUUGGUCAAUGGGCUUACGCCUGAACCAGCCAAGUCGCGUGAGGGAAGACUGCCCUAUGGGUUGUAAACCUCUUUUGUCAGGGAGCAACGCCUGCUACGUGUAGCCGGACUGAGAGUACCUGAAGAAAAAGCAUCGGCUAACUCCGUGCCAGCAGCCGCGGUAAUACGGAGGAUGCGAGCGUUAUCCGGAUUUAUUGGGUUUAAGGGGUGCGUAGGCGGAAUGCCAAGUCAGCGGUAAAAGCGCGGGGCUCAACCUCGCUCCGCCGUUGAAACUGGCGUUCUUGAGUGGGCGAGAGGUAUGCGGAAUGCGUGGUGUAGCGGUGAAAUGCAUAGAUAUCACGCAGAACUCCGAUUGCGAAGGCAGCAUACCGGCGCCCAACUGACGCUGAAGCACGAAAGCGUGGGUAUCGAACAGGAUUAGAUACCCUUGUAGUC
rnacentral:rRNA from 1 species